CCCCUAGUAACUGCGAGUGAAGCGGGAAAAGCUCAAAUUUAAAAUCUGGCGGUCUCCGGCCGUCCGAGUUGUAAUCUAGAGAAGUGUUAUCCGCGCUGGACCGUGUACAAGUCUCCUGGAAUGGAGCGUCAUAGAGGGUGAGAAUCCCGUCUUUGACACGGACUGCCAGGGCUUUGUGAUGCGCUCUCAAAGAGUCGAGUUGUUUGGGAAUGCAGCUCAAAAUGGGUGGUAAAUUCCAUCUAAAGCUAAAUAUUGGCGAGAGACCGAUAGCGAACAAGUACCGUGAGGGAAAGAUGAAAAGAACUUUGGAAAGAGAGUUAAACAGUACGUGAAAUUGCUGAAAGGGAAACGCUUGAAGUCAGUCGCGUUGGCCGGGGAUCAACCUUGCUUUUGCUGGGCGUACUUUCCGGUCGAUGGGUCAGCAUCAAUUUUGAUCGUUGGAUAAAGUCUUGGGGAAUGUGGCAUCUUCGGAUGUGUUAUAGCCCUUGGUCGCAUACAACGGUUGGGAUUGAGGAACUCAGCACGCCGAAAGGCCGGGUAUUCGUACCACGUUCGUGCUUAGGAUGCUGGCAUAAUGGCUUUAAUCGACCCGUCUUGAAACACGGACCAAGGAGUCUAACAUGCCUGCGAGUGUUUGGGUGGAAAACCCGGACGCGUAAUGAAAGUGAAAGUUGAGAUCCCUGUCGUAGGGAGCAUCGAC
rnacentral:rRNA from 1 species